AUGGAACCUGCGUCCUCAUGGUUACCAGUCACAUUCGAUUCCUCUGAGCCAGGAUGGGAACUCCAGGAUAAUAGUUUCUUUAUCUACCUAGCAAGUCAGUUAGGUAACUCAGAGACGGUAAAGCGCAGGACUCCACCACCACGAAGUCCCACUCCACUCCAUUGUCAUCAGGGUGGUUCCUGGGUGGAGGAGCCUGCAGGCCAGGAAGGCUUAGGUGUCACCAGCAGGCCCCAGGGCAGCAGCGGGAGAGGCCGCAGGAGGAGCUCCGCUCUGACUCCUGGCUCUGCAGCUCCGGCCUUGCGUCUUGGGGGAGUGCAUCUGCAGCUUGGUGCACACCUGGGGAUGCGGGCGGAGCUCAGAGACCUCACAGGUAAUGCGGGGGCGGGGUUCCGGGCCACAGGUGGCGAGCAGGCGAACGUGGAGGGUCAGGAGGCGAGGCUCGGGGACAGCCACGCGGGCAGGGACGGUAGUGGCAGGGAGGGCGGGCAGGAAGCUGCCGGCGGAUACCAGGGUCCUCCUGGAUGCACCGCCCUCUCCCCGAGACCAGCGCCCCUUGGCCCCUCCUCCCUGCUCUCUUGUCACGCCUCCUCUCGCGGCGCGCGGCCUUGGAGCCCCGCCCGUUUCCCCGCCCCUCGGCUCGCCCUCAGCUCGCGAUUGGCUGGGCCCCUACGUAGGCCGCCCCCGCAUUGGUCGAGGAGCUUCGAGUGGCGCGCUCGGGAUUGGUGGGCGUCCCCGGGGCUCCCAGACGCGGCGCGCGAUUGGCUGGCGGAGGCACGGUCUCCGGGGCCUGGGCGGCGCAGCAAGGCCUCGGGCGGCGGUGGCGGCGGCGGCGGCGACGGCGUGAGGCAGGUGAGCUUUGAGCUGGGGGCCGGGUGGGGUCGCGUCGGGCCGGGUGGGGCCCGGGCGCCUCUCACCGCGGGUGGGGGUGGGACUGGCCGAGUAGCGGGCCCGCGGGGGCAGCCAACGGCCGCUGCCCGUCCGCAGCCCGCCGCCCCCUCCUCCUCCGCGCGCCCGGCGCUGGCGCGGGGCUCGGCCCUG
rnacentral:lncRNA from 1 species